GUGGGAAACCUGCCCAGAAGCGGGGGAUAACACCUGGAAACAGAUGCUAAUACCGCAUAACAACUUGGACCGCAUGGUCCGAGCUUGAAAGAUGGCUUCGGCUAUCACUUUUGGAUGGUCCCGCGGCGUAUUAGCUAGAUGGUGGGGUAACGGCUCACCAUGGCAAUGAUACGUAGCCGACCUGAGAGGGUAAUCGGCCACAUUGGGACUGAGACACGGCCCAAACUCCUACGGGAGGCAGCAGUAGGGAAUCUUCCACAAUGGGCGAAAGUCUGAUGGAGCAACGCCGCGUGAGUGAAGAAGGGUUUCGGCUCGUAAAACUCUGUUGUUAAAGAAGAACAUAUCUGAGAGUAACUGUUCAGGUAUUGACGGUAUUUAACCAGAAAGCCACGGCUAACUACGUGCCAGCAGCCGCGGUAAUACGUAGGUGGCAAGCGUUGUCCGGAUUUAUUGGGCGUAAAGCGAGCGCAGGCGGUUUUUUAAGUCUGAUGUGAAAGCCUUCGGCUCAACCGAAGAAGUGCAUCGGAAACUGGGAAACUUGAGUGCAGAAGAGGACAGUGGAACUCCAUGUGUAGCGGUGAAAUGCGUAGAUAUAUGGAAGAACACCAGUGGCGAAGGCGGCUGUCUGGUCUGUAACUGACGCUGAGGCUCGAAAGUAUGGGUAGCAAACAGGAUUAGAUACCCUGGUAGUCCAUACCGUAAACGAUGAAUGCUAAGUGUUGGAGGGUUUCCGCCCUUCAGUGCUGCAGCUAACGCAUUAAGCAUUCCGCCUGGGGAGUACGGCCGCAAGGCUGAAACUCAAAGGAAUUGACGGGGGCCCGCACAAGCGGUGGAGCAUGUGGUUUAAUUCGAAGCUACGCGAAGAACCUUACCAGGUCUUGACAUACUAUGCAAAUCUAAGAGAUUAGACGUUCCCUUCGGGGACAUGGAUACAGGUGGUGCAUGGUUGUCGUCAGCUCGUGUCGUGAGAUGUUGGGUUAAGUCCCGCAACGAGCGCAACCCUUAUUAUCAGUUGCCAGCAUUAAGUUGGGCACUCUGGUGAGACUGCCGGUGACAAACCGGAGGAAGGUGGGGAUGACGUCAAAUCAUCAUGCCCCUUAUGACCUGGGCUACACACGUGCUACAAUGGAUGGUACAACGAGUUGCGAACUCGCGAGAGUAAGCUAAUCUCUUAAAGCCAUUCUCAGUUCGGAUUGUAGGCUGCAACUCGCCUACAUGAAGUCGGAAUCGCUAGUAAUCGCGGAUCAGCAUGCCGCGGUGAAUACGUUCCCGGGCCUUGUACACACCGCCCGUCACACCAUGAGAGUUUGUAACACCCAAAGUCGGUGGGGUAACCUUUUAGGAGCCAGCCGCCUAAGGUGGGACAGAUGAUUAGGGUGAAGUCGUAACAAGGU
rnacentral:rRNA from 1 species